AGGGACAUGGGGAGGGGGCUGGCCUAUGCUGAUCUAUUCAGUGGAGCACAGCCAGCUCUAAUGAAGUGCGCUAGCCCCAGGCCACACUGAUUUCACGUCUGGGUAGCCACUUCCCAGCUGGUAAAUGUCACUGGAGAGAGCGGCAGAGGCACCUGGCACUGGCCCAGUAGGAAGUGGGGGUGGGAGGCUGCCAGAGGAGCUGGAGAUGCCCAGGGAAUGCUGAUGCUGGACCAGUGCCCCCAGACCCUACCAGACACCCAAGUCCCCAAAGGGGGCUGAGUUGAGCUGGCUGAAGCUGUCUCUUACUUGGAGACAUCUGUAAUCACCAGCCCAGCCCUGCUAUGAAUCCACAACCAGAGCCCAGAGCUUGCCCCCCAGCUGGCCACAUUUGCCCUCUUUCUUCACCAGGGAGGGAGCACUAAAGAAUGUCGAGAGGGCACAGCUGUCCAGGUCCACAAACAGGAAGUAGAGCCAUGUGAGAACCCUCCUGGCCCAACAGCCCUCCCUGCCCUGAGCUGUCUCCUUUGAUAACUGAUCCAGGACAAGCUAAUAGUAACGAGCUAUAACCACACAGCGGCAGGCCUCGUUUAAUAAACUCUCGCUGCGGCAGGCGCUGGCUCAGAACCCAGAUCUGUGAUCUCAUUCAACCCCAGGAUGACCCUUUGGGGCCCUGAACCGAUUCCACUGUUUAGGAGAGGAAUAUGAGGCUGACACUGACAGUCCUGGUGGCUAUACCCCUGUUACCUCCAAAUGGGACCCCUCCUCUGCCCACUCCACUUCCUCACCUUAUGGGUAGGAAGUAGGAGAGGGUCUUGGGGUGUUGGCAUAUUGACUUAUCUUGGACAGGGGGCUGGAAGGAGGGAAGAGGGACUUUCCCUAAGACAUAAGCAUGCCAUCUCAAAGGGUUCCCAGGGGAGGCGGAGUAUUUACCUUCAUUAUAUCUCCAAACCUCUUCUCUCUCCCUCUGGAACCCUGAUCUCUAGGCGUGAGAUCUGCAAACCAAGCUUGGCUUGACCCACACCCAACCCAGACCUGACAUCUUCUGGACACACACACACACAGCUGAAGUCACAUGGAUGGGCUCCUGCCUGGAUACUGCAUGUGCCUGAGCUCAACACUUGGUCCAUUUGCUGCUCAGUGACUCACCUUGUUCUCGCUACCCAGCACAGUGACACCUCUGCUUGCCAAAGCCAGAAAGUACCAUGGAGAUGAUCCCACUAAGGCCUUCACCUAGUCUCAUGUCUCAUUGUGAAUCAAGAAUUGAAAGCAUCCAGCAAGUCCCACCCACCACAAGAAGUCCAAGCCAUGGUGCCUAUGCUCCUGUUCUAUCUCUUUAGAAAGGCAGUAGCUACUCCCUACCCUGGAAGAAGAGCUGAUACUGAGCCGGUGAUCCCUAAUCCAGGCAUGCAAGCAGAUGCAGCUGGCUCCAGUUCACUGCUGUGUGACAGGAAGUCCAUCAAGAUCUUCUGGAGAAAUAGACCCAGGGUCUGGAGCCAAAGCCUGGAAAGCACCUGUGGCAAGGCUGCCUUACCUGUGGCCCACAUGGAUAGCUCCCAGCUUCCAGGGUUCUUCUAGCACCAUUCCUGAAAGUGCCCCCUGUUGGAAACCCACCAUGUGAGGCAGGCUGCCAAGUCUCCUAACCCAGCUCUCCUCUAAAAGUCCUUUUUGGGGGAUUGUUUCCCAAAGAGACGAGAGGGUGACUAAAUGUAUUCCGGCACAGAGCCUGCAGCAGCAAGGCUGCUUGAUUAAGAAUGAAUUACACUUUCAUCAGUACAGAGAGAAAAUUGAUUCACAAGGCCGCAUUGUGAUAAUCUUGUUCCUAAAGCAAAAGAGGGUGGAGGGGUGGGCAGGACACAGAACCACUUCGGCUAUCAGUGGCGAGAGAAAGGAAGCUCUACAAUUAAGCUGAGAGGACAAAACUAAUCAGAGCACCAGGAUUCCUUCAACUAGUCUCUGGAGGCCCUGCUUCAAUCCACUCAUCCCAAGGGAGGAGAAAGGAAGGGGGAGGGGGAUAAUUCAUUAUAAACAGUAAGAUCCACUAUGCUGAACCCAUUUUAGAUACUAACCUAAUAACUCCUGGCGCUGAGACUCUGCUUGUCCCAUAAAAAUGCAGUGGAAUUGAAAUGCAAGCCCUAAAAUCAUGUUAUACUUCCUCUCUGCCACUACAUAUUGAAAAUGAAGGAGCGGGGGAGGGAAGAGAUGCAAAAGGACAUGCAGAUUCUCUGGCUCCAGGAUCCCCAAGGAGGAAGCAGGCUCUGGAGCAGAAAGGAGACAGCCAAAUCCAGUAGCAGCAAAUUCCAACAUAAUCUUUGGUUUGGAGUAUGAUAAACAUUCCCCCUUCCAAGUGAGCUGAGGAGGAAGGGUUAGUGAAGGGGGACUGCUGCUGUAAAGUGGCCAGAUUAAGCUCUUCUGCAGUCUUACUAGUGACAGCUUGCACCUAAAUGCCAUCUGGUGAUGUGUACCGGAAGAGAGCUGUCCCUGCAUUUAUCCCUAACCAGGGGUGGUAUCAAAGGCCACAUCUAUCCCAACGAACAAAUCCAGUUUGGUAUCAACUGUAGAGAGAAAUCUGCUCAGGGGACCUUUUUGUGUAUUAAUCCUUUGGGGACCUAAAGCAGCAGAAAGAUACCUGGAAACAUCUCUAUGUCUCUAGCCACCCAUGUGAUGCUGGCGGGGCUUUUUCUUACUCUGUCCUUCCACCUGACAAAUGGACUAAUUGGCUUGAUUCACCUCACUGGGCAGGUGGAGACUAAGUGGUAUCUAUCCAACACUGAGUAGAGCCUUAGGAAAGAGGUCCAGAUAUACUGAUGUCACUUUUAAAUUGCCAAUCUCAAAUAAGAAACCAUGGCAGGGUUCAUAAGAACAAACCCUUGAGCCCACAAAAUGAGUUUGCAUCCCAGCUCUUUCCUCCCACUGUUGCAGCAACAAAUCAGAUGCCCGUGCAGAGCAGUGCUGAAACAUAUCUUCAGAGCCCAGGGGCCAAUGGGAUGUUUUACUGCAUCAAAUAAGACCCAAUAAUGGCCACAGGCACUUCCAAAAAGUCAUAAAACAUCCUAGGCCAGGAAGGCAGGGUUUGUAGGCUUGAUACCUCCCAAAGAACAACUGCUUGAGCAGGUAAAGUCUCCCCAACAAAACCAGGAUUAGGUCUAGUCUUUCUGGAAAUGAGGCCAGUAGGCUCGUCUAAAUAGAGAGCUGCCACAAACAAGCAAGGAAACUGUAACCCCCAACAGUCACAAGAUACCCACAAACUGUGUCCAUGUGGAUGAAGAAUGGCCAGGAAUAAGCCCAUGCUGUCACAUCGGAAGAGGGCAGGCCUAAGGCCAGCUGGCUGUUCCCAACACCUUCAGUGUGCUGGGGCCGAGGAAAAGACUCUGAGAGACCACUGUGGUUUCUUCUGGGUGUCCUAUGUCCCCAUCUGAUCCUGCUGCUGCUCUCAUUCCACUCCCUAUUCUUUUUUCUUCUCUUCUCAAAUGCAAAUGGAAGGUUCCAGAGGUGAGGAGCCAGAGCAAUGCCUUUAUAUCAUGGCUAAAGAUGUUCUAUCAGAUGAGGCCUGGUUUCCAAAGCAAGCAGAGCCACUCAGCCUCCUGGGUCUUAAGGAGAGCUGGACACAUGAACCCCAUAUUAAACACAAACUGUUUUAGCAGCUGCCUUCGAAGCUGACAAUGUACACCGGAGGUCACCAGGGAGGAUCUGGGUGCUUGUUUUAAUUGUGGGAGAUGCCUUUCACGCAUAUUCAAUCUCUCCCUGAGAUUUAUCACUUCCCUGGGUGUCUAAAGUGUUCUGCUUCACUUCGCCAGCCCUGCAUCUCCAAGGGGACUUGGCAGAAAUUGGAGAUGACAUUGGAUUUUUAUGUCUUCCUGAUCCAGAAGAGGUGGCAGGGCAUUCCAUGAAUGUUAAAACUCUGCUAUUCCCACUCCCCCACCAGUGGAAGCCAUGGCUGGACACAGUCCACACCAUCUACUAAUGAAACAAGCUUUCUGUGCUCUGCGACCCCCAUGAUUUCUCAUCUGUCGAUUUCUUUUGAAAUCCUUCGGAGACCACAGGCACAAAACUGAUGGCUUGUUUGCUGGUGCUCCGAUCACUUCAUGAUCAGGAGACUAAAAUCAGUGUCUUAAAAGGGGAUAGCAGCAAAACCUGGAAGUGGGCAUGGGCAUACUCCUGGACCACAUUUGUACCUCUAGUAUAGGGUGACACAGCUAAACCACACCUGGCCACCACUACAGUCAUCAGUAUAGUGGCUCUGUCGGCAAAAUGCUCAGACCCAAAGAGCUCUGUGUCCCCCCAUCCCUCUUGACUGCUGGACUUGCUCCCCUCCCUCAGAGGCUCACAAGCCAGGAACAGAUGCUGUCUCUCUCUCUGGGUAUGAAACAAAUGCAGGUUCCCCAGGGCAGCUUUUGAUCACUAGUGUUGCUGAUUCAGAUGCAAAUGUCAAACCAGUUACACUGAUCAUCAACUGGGAAAAAAAGGAAAUGUGGGGAGGUAGCAAGAAGAGAAAAAUAUACCCAUCAAACCCAAGGAACCUGCAAAGUUAAUUCUGUUUAGGAUUUAGCUCAGCGGCAUAAGCCCCUGCCUUGCAAGUGUGUGGUUGUGAGUUCAAUCCCCGGUACCGAUAAAAAAAAAGAAAAAGACAAGUAAAAUAAAAUAAAAAAUAACUAUGCUCACUACCAGCUCUGCACAUAAAAGUGCCUUCCUCCUUUACACCAUGGGUUCACAGGCAGAUCUGGGGUUUCUUAUAUUGUUAAACCCUUAUUGUGCUAAGUGCUUUGUGUACAUUCCCUCAUUUAACCUCACAACAAUGGGGCUCGUCUUCCCUUUUUUUUGCAUGGUGUUGAGUUGAACCGAGCUUUACACACACUAGGCAAGUGCUCUACCACUAAGCCACACAGUCUUUUUCUCUUUCUCCCUCUCUCCUUUCCCUCCCUUUCUUCCUUCCUUUCUGUUUUGCUUUUCAAGGAAGGAUCUUGGUAAAAUGUCUAGAUUAGCCUUGAACUUGAAAUCUUCCUGCCUUAGCCUCCCAAGUGGUUGGGACUACAGGCUCAUGCCACUAUAGCCAGUUUAUAGUCACUUUUUAUAGGUGAGGACAGUAAUUCUUUUUUUUUUUUUUUUAAUCGGUACCGGGGAUUGAACUCAGGACUGCGCACUUGCAAGGCAGGCACUUAUGCCGCUGAGCUAAAUCCCCAGCCCCCAAGGACACUAAUUCUUAAGAGAAUAACAACUUUAGAGAAAGGAAGGAGCACCUCAGAUAACCAGACAGUUCUGCCUCUUACUGUUCUCAAGGGAUUGUGGUCCCCCAAGGGUUAUUUCCCUUCAAUUAACUUUGAUUUUCCAUAGUUCCCAUAGGAACUGCUGAGACCAUGUCAGACACUAAACCUCUAGGUGAAGCAGACAGUACUGAAAGCGAGGAGGAGGAGGAAUAGGCACAGACUAUACAGUAGUAGCUUGGAGACCUAUUCUUUUGUUGAAGAAUCUAUGAUCAAAAACCACUAUAACGAAACAAAACCAAUGCAGGCAGGUUUGCACCCUGAUUCCUGAGCUCUCUGCUCAGGAUACUGGAAACUCUCCAGCUCACCACCAGCUCUUAUAGUUCUCACCCCCAGACAUUCUAGAUGGAGCUAUGCCCUCAGUCUAGCUACCCACACUUCCAGAGUUGAAGCGGCAUUUCUCUUUGGCUAGGUUCACAAUGGCCCAGACUGCAGCAGGCAAGACUUCAGAACCACCCCUACACAAGCAGGUGGCUCGUCAUCAGUCCUGGCCACAGGGACUGUUAAAAUUUAGAAAAUGAAACAUCUGUCAAACUUCAUGUGCAGCAAAUGCUAGCACUGUUUAAUCUACGGAUGCUGGGAGAACUCCAGUCAUAAUAAAAGCUAAGUCCAUGCUUUUAGUAACCUUU